GACGAACGCUGGCGGCGUGCUUAACACAUGCAAGUCGAACGGAAAGGCCCUGCUUUUGUGGGGUGCUCGAGUGGCGAACGGGUGAGUAACACGUGAGUAACCUGCCCUUGACUUUGGGAUAACUUCAGGAAACUGGGGCUAAUACCGGAUAGGAGCUGCUGCUGCAUGGUGGGGGUUGGAAAGUUUCGGCGGUUGGGGAUGGACUCGCGGCUGAUCAGCUUGUUGGUGGGGUAGUGGCUUACCAAGGCUUUGACGGGUAGCCGGCCUGAGAGGGUGACCGGCCACAUUGGGACUGAGAUACGGCCCAGACUCCUACGGGAGGCAGCAGUGGGGAAUAUUGCACAAUGGGCGGAAGCCUGAUGCAGCAACGCCGCGUGCGGGAUGACGGCCUUCGGGUUGUAAACCGCUUUCGCCUGUGACGAAGCGUGAGUGACGGUAAUGGGUAAAGAAGCACCGGCUAACUACGUG
rnacentral:rRNA from 1 species